rnacentral:rRNA from 1 species
UACGGAGGGGGCUAGCGUUGUUCGGAAUUACUGGGCGUAAAGCGCACGUAGGCGGCUUUGUAAGUUAGAGGUGAAAGCCCGGGGCUCAACUCCGGAAUUGCCUUUUAAGACUGCAUCGCUAGAAUUGUGGAGAGGUAAGUGGAAUUCCGAGUGUAGAGGUGAAAUUCGUAGAUAUUCGGAAGAACACCAGUGGCGGAAGGCGGACUUUACUGGACCACAUAUUUGACGCUGAGGUGCGAAAGCGUGGGAGCAAACAGG